rnacentral:rRNA from 1 species
AUAUUGGUCAAUGGACGCAAGUCUGAACCAGCCAUGCCGCGUGGAGGAUGAAGGUCCUCUGGAUUGUAAACUUCUUUUAUCUGGGAAGAAACCCAUAUUUUCUAGUGUGGUUGACGGUACCCAACGAGGAAGCCCCGGCUAACUACGUGCCAGCAGCCGCGGUAAGACGUAGGGGGCGAGCGUUAUCCGGAUUCACUGGGCGUAAAGGGCGCGCAGGCGGCUACGUAAGUCCGGCGUGAAAUCCCACGGCUCAACUGUGGAAUUGCGUCGGAUACUGCGUUGGCUUGAGGACGGUAGAGGCUUCUGGAACUAGCGGUGUAGCGGUGAAAUGCGCAGAUAUCGCUAGGAACGCCGGUGGCGAAGGCGGGAGGCUGGGCCGAUCCUGACGCUGAGGCGCGAAAGCUAGGGGAGCGAAC